rnacentral:tRNA from 1 species
CGGGAAGUGGCGCAGCCCGGUAGCGCACUUGUAUGGGGUGCAAGGGGUCGCAAGUUCGAAUCUUGUCUUCCCGACCC